rnacentral:rRNA from 1 species
CCUACGGGGGGCUGCAGUGGGGAAUAUUGGACAAUGGGCGAAAGCCUGAUCCAGCCAUGCCGCGUGUGUGAAGAAGGCCUUCGGGUUGUAAAGCACUUUCAGUGGGGAAGAAAGCCUUGGGGCUAAUACCCUCGAGGAUGGACAUCACCCACAGAAGAAGCACCGGCUAACUCCGUGCCAGCAGCCGCGGUAAUACGGAGGGUGCGAGCGUUAAUCGGAAUUACUGGGCGUAAAGCGCGCGUAGGCGGUCUGAUAAGCCGGUUGUGAAAGCCCCGGGCUCAACCUGGGAACGGCAUCCGGAACUGUCAGGCUAGAGUGCAGGAGAGGAAGGUAGAAUUCCCGGUGUAGCGGUGAAAUGCGUAGAGAUCGGGAGGAAUACCAGUGGCGAAGGCGGCCUUCUGGACUGACACUGACGCUGAGGUGCGAAAGCGUGGGUAGCAAACAGGAUUAGAUACCCCAGUAGUC